GAGGGUAUAGCUCAGUGGUAGAGUGCCUGUGAGGUCCUGGGUUCAGUCCCCAGUACCUCUA
rnacentral:tRNA from 1 species